CGAGGCGGUGUGUUUGCCUCUGAGUGUUAGCUCCACCCUGAGCGCCUCGGGGCGGGCACAGAGUUGGCUGCAAGACCUUUGCUCCGUUCUCUUCUGUCCGAGCUAGGUCCUCCUCCAGGGCCCGCCACCAUCCACUCAUGGUCCACGGCUGGACACUGUGGGCCAGGCCUCUAACCCCUUGUCCUGCGUUUUGCCCAGUGGCCGGACACUGCCGUCUCAUACCACGUGACCUGCUGGACCAAAUGUGAAUAAGUUGAACCAUAUGAAAUUGUGUGGGGAAGCCAUCUGCCAUGUCGUGUGGACAUUCAGGCAGUUCUGUGGAAAGAUCCAAGAACUGAGAUCUCCUGUCACUAGUUAGCACCAACUUGCCAGCCAUGUGAAUUUUCUAGCACCAGUAAAGCCUUCAGUUGACUCAAGUUUCAGUGACAUCUUUGUUUUCACUGCAGUUCAGUUUACUACCAACUAUAUUACCAUCCUGGGCCCCCUGUGACAUCUUAACUGCAAUAGUGUGCAAGACCCAAAGCCAGAACCAUUCAGUCAAGCCACUCCCAAAUUCCUGACUCACAGAAU